rnacentral:tRNA from 1 species
GUUUUAAUAAUUUAAUAAAAAUAUUAACUUUGUAAGUUAAACUUAGACUAUAAUCUUUAAAACA